GUCUAGCCUGCCCAMUGAGUAAUUGAAUGGCCGCAGUAUUUUGACUGUGCAAAGGUAGCAUAAUCAUUAGUUUUUUAAUUGAAAGCUGGAAUGAAAGGUUGGACAAGAAAAUAGCUGUCUCUUUAUAAAUUAGUUAGAAUUUUAUUUUUAAGUUAAAAAGCUUAAAUAAAUUUAAAAGACGAGAAGACCCUAUAGAGUUUUAUAAAUUUUAUAAUUAAUUUUUUUUUGUAAUAAUUUAAAUAAAUUAUAAAUUUUAUUUUGUUGGGGUGAUGGAAAAAUUUUAUUAACUUUUUUUAAAUAAAAACAUAUAUUAAUGAUUUAUUGAUCCUUAAAUUAAGAUUAAAAGAUUAAAUUACCUUAGGGAUAACAGCGUAAUUUUUUUGGAGAGUUCAAAUCGAUAAAAAAGUUUGCGACCUCGAUGUUGGAUUAAAAUUAAAUUUUGGUGUAGAAGCUAAAAUAUUWRKS
rnacentral:rRNA from 1 species